AUUGAACGCUGGCGGAAUGCUUUACACAUGCAAGUCGAACGGCAGCACGGGGCAACCUGGUGGCGAGUGGCGAACGGGUGAGUAAUACAUCGGAACGUGCCCAAUCGUGGGGGAUAACGUAGCGAAAGUUACGCUAAUACCGCAUACGAUCUACGGAUGAAAGCGGGGGAUCGCAAGACCGCGCGCGAAUGGAGCGGCCGAUGUCAGAUUAGGUAGUUGGUGGGGUAAAGGCUCACCAAGCCGACGAUCUGUAGCUGGUCUGAGAGGACGACCAGCCACAAUGGGACUGAGACGCGGCCCAGACUCCUACGGGAGGCAGCAGUGGGGAAUUGUGGACAAUGGGCGCAAGCCUGAUCCAGCCAUUCCGCGUGCAGGAUGAAGGCCUUCGGGUUGUAAACUGCUUUUGUACGGAACGAAACGGUUCUCUCUAAUACAGGGGGCUAAUGACGGUACCGUAAGAAUAAGCACCGGCUAACUACGUGCCAGCCGCCGCCGUAAUAC
rnacentral:rRNA from 1 species